rnacentral:rRNA from 1 species
AUGGAUUGGCUCCUGACCACCGGCUUGUCGGCCACCGCCGGCGCGUGGGGCGCCCACGCAGGCCUCGGCGACGAAGUGGACAGGCUGCGUUCCGUGCUGUCCCGCGUGCAGGCGCUCGUCGAGCAAGCGGAGCAGUGGCGGUUCGCCAACCCCGGUGUCGCCGAUCUCCUCGCGCGGCUCAAGGACGCCGCCUGCGACGCCGAGGACCUCGCGGACGAGCUCGCCACGGACGAGAAGCAGGCGAGCCAGAGCCUCUUCCCAUCCGCGCGCAGUUUCCUGCGCGGAUUGGUCACCGGCGCGGCGGAUAGAGCCAGAGGCGUCAGGUCUCGGCUCGAGUACGCGUCCACCGACCUGGAGCGGGCCCUCGCCGUGCUGGACGCGGCCGGCAAGGCGACGCCGCGGCGCGCGUUCCGGGAGACGAGCUCGUUCGCCGGGAGGCCCCUGGUUCUCGGCAGAGACCGGGAGCGCGAGGAUGUGGUCCGUCUGCUUCUGAAUCCGCUCCAUGCCCACGAUUCCGGCGAUGGCGGCGGCAGCGCGAAGCGACGGAAGAGCCGUGACGGCGUGGCCGUGCUGGCGAUCCUUGGCAUGGGCGGCGUAGGGAAGACCACUCUGGCGCAGGUUGUGUACAACGACCAUAGGGUGCAGGACCACUUCGACCUGCGGGUGUGGGUUUGCCUGCCGGAAUCGCCGGACGUGACGCUGGUGACCAAAGCGAUCAUAGAGUCGGCGACCAACGGGGCGGUGGCGCAAACUGGCCUUGGCAAUUUGGACUCACUUCAGGUGGUUCUCAGGGAUUUGGUCAGGUCCAAUAGGUUCCUUCUUGUCCUUGACAAUGCCUGGUGUGAGGACAGUGUGGAGUUUCAGACGCUCAUCGCGCCACUGAAGUUUGGGCAUCCUGGAAGUGCCAUCUUGGUGACCGGUCGCUCUUGCAAGGUUGCUGAUGCCGCCGGAGCGGCGGAACUGUUAUGUCUGAAUGGGUUACCGGAGGAGGCUUACUGGGAGCUGUUCAAGCAGUAUGCAUUCGGCGAUGAGGACCCUGCAGACCAUCCUGAAUUGGUGGCCAUUGGCAAGAAGAUUGCCCAUAGGCUCAAGGGCUCCCCUCUUGCUGCCAAGACUGUCGGUGGGGCACUGAGCUCUGACAUGAGCACAAAGCAUUGGAGCAUAGUCAUGGCAAGUGGGUUGUGGGAGCUUGAUCAAGGUGCAGGAGGCAUUCUCCCGGCUCUUCGACUGAGUUACCAGUACCUCCCUGCAUACCUCAAGCAAUGCUUUGCAUUCUGUGCGAUAUUUCCAAAGGGGUAUAUCUUCGGGAAGGAGACUCUGAUUGACAUGUGGAUUGCAGAAGGCUUCAUCUCUCCUCAAGGCGACUUUGGGAACAAAUGCUUGAAAGAAUUGCUCAACAAGUCCUUUUUUCAGCAACACAUAUUCAGUGACUCAUGUUUCGUCAUGCAUGACCUGAUGUCUGAUCUCGCACAGUCACUCUCUAUAGAUGAAUGUUUUUGUCUGACUGAUGAAAGAUGCCUUCCGAAAAUCCCUUCCACUGUUCGCCAUCUGUCAGUGUGCACCAAACAUCUUGAACUGGGUAGAUACCCAAAGCUGCGGUCACUUUUGAUUCUCGGUAUGUCUGGGCAAGAUUUGAGUUGCUCACUUGAUAUUUUGUUUGAUAAACUGAGUAAUAUCCGCGUGCUGGUGCUACGGGAGUGUGCGAUCAAAGAGCUCCCUAGGAAUAUUGGCAAUCUAAAACUUCUCCGGUAUAUCGAUAUCUCUUACACAAAGAUCCAAUGGUUGCCUGACUCCAUCUGCCAGCUAAGCAAUUUGCAAAUUCUGAAUGUACUGAACGUCCCUCUGAAGAACCAUCCCAACGGUUUGACUAGAUUAGUCAAUCUGAGGAAAUGUUACAUGAAUGAACCGAUUACUUCGGUGAUGAGCAAUAUAAGCGCUUUGACAUCACUCGAGAACUCGUUGGUAUUUGAAAUUCCGAAAGGACAAGGGCACAGAAUCGCCGAACUGAAGGACAUGACACAGCUGACCGAAACUUUACAUGUUACGAAUCUUGAGAAUGUUGUGAAGGAUGAUGCCUUAAAAGCCAAGAUGAACACAAAAGCGCACAUACAACGGUUGAUUCUGGAAUGGUCUUCAAGCGAAGCUGGUAAUGCGGAAUUCAGCAAUGCCAAGUAUUCACAAGAAAGCAUUAUUGUUGAAUCAUUUGAGCCCCAUCCCAACCUUGAGAGUUUGAAAUUGAAGCACUACAGUGGCAUCCAAACACCAUCUUGGUUGCAGGCUGGAAAUCUUUGCUGUUUGUGUGAGCCCAGUCUCUCCAACUGUCAUUUCCUAACUGAAAUCACCAGCCUCCCUUCUUCCCUCAGGAGGUUGCACAUCAUACGAUGCAGAAACCUGAGGAGUCUCGAUGAGUGUCUACAGGCACAGAGCUUGCAGGGAAUCGCGGAAAUAACUGUUAUGAACUGCUCAAAACUAGCAUUGCUCCCUGUGGAAAGAUUUCGGGGCUUUGCUUCUCUUCGUGUAUUGGAAAUUCAAAAUUGUCCAGAGCUUCCACCCACAAGGAAACUGACCCUGCCGCCAUCGAUGGAGGAGUUGCUUAUGAGGUCAUGCGGCCAUGUUGAUGCGUCACUUCCAUCCUGCUUGCACAACCUGUCUUCACUCGUAACCUUGGUUAUAUACAACUGUCCUAACUUACUGUCCCUUCCAGCAGAAAUAGUUUCGCAGCUGCGAUCACUCCGAGGGAUGUAUGUCGAUAACUGCAGCAGCCUGCAAUCCUUGGGUGGAUUGCACCACCUUUCGUCACUCAUCAACCUGCACAUUGUGAACUGCCCUAGGUUGACAGACCUUGAUCCCUCGAUGUUUCUCGACGUCGGCGAAGGCCGGGGGAUGCAGAAGCUCGAGUGCCUGACCAUCAGUAGCACCUCUCUCCUUAGCCUGAUGAUGAGAAGCACAUUACCUGCUCUUAAGAUCGUUGUCCUGUACCAGUCCACCGACUCCGCGGUUGUUCAUGGCCCUCGCAACAAGAAGUUGUGUUGGUGUUUCCCGUCGGUGCAAGAGCUGUUGUUUCAGGACUGUGGGAAUCUUGUUGCACUCCCUGAAGAGCUGUGCACUUUGUCGACUCUCCAGUUCCUGCGGAUAUUCAACUGUCCGAAGAUCCAGUCAUUGCCACAUACGGGCUUGCCGGUCUCCCUGAGGACAUUGUCCUUCGAGAAGUGCCACCCGUUGCUGGAGGAGCAGUUAAAGAAGCUCAAGUUCUCCUACAAUACGGCGUAG